rnacentral:rRNA from 2 species
GUGGCGAACUGGUGAGUAACACGUGGGAAAUCUGCCCAGAAGCAGGGGAUAACACUUGGAAACAGGUGCUAAUACCGUAUAACAACAAAAUCCGCAUGGAUUUUGUUUGAAAGGUGGCUUCGGCUAUCACUUCUGGAUGAUCCCGCGGCGUAUUAGUUAGUUGGUGAGGUAAAGGCCCACCAAGACGAUGAUACGUAGCCGACCUGAGAGGGUAAUCGGCCACAUUGGGACUGAGACACGGCCCAAACUCCUACGGGAGGCAGCAGUAGGGAAUCUUCCACAAUGGACGAAAGUCUGAUGGAGCAAUGCCGCGUGAGUGAAGAAGGGUUUCGGCUCGUAAAACUCUGUUGUUAAAGAAGAACACCUUUGAGAGUAACUGUUCAAGGGUUGACGGUAUUUAACCAGAAAGCCACGGCUAACUACGUGCCAGCAGCCGCGGUAAUACGUAGGUGGCAAGCGUUGUCCGGAUUUAUUGGGCGUAAAGCGAGCGCAGGCGGUUUUUUAAGUCUGAUGUGAAAGCCUUCGGCUUAACCGGAGAAGUGCAUCGGAAACUGGGAGACUUGAGUGCAGAAGAGGACAGUGGAACUCCAUGUGUAGCGGUGGAAUGCGUAGAUAUAUGGAAGAACACCAGUGGCGAAGGCGGCUGUCUAGUCUGUAACUGACGCUGAGGCUCGAAAGCAUGGGUAGCGAACAGGAUUAGAUACCCUGGUAGUCCAUGCCGUAAACGAUGAGUGCUAAGUGUUGGAGGGUUUCCGCCCUUCAGUGCUGCAGCUAACGCAUUAAGCACUCCGCCUGGGGAGUACGACCGCAAGGUUGAAACUCAAAGGAAUUGACGGGGGCCCGCACAAGCGGUGGAGCAUGUGGUUUAAUUCGAAGCUACGCGAAGAACCUUACCAGGUCUUGACAUCUUCUGCCAAUCUUAGAGAUAAGACGUUCCCUUCGGGGACAGAAUGACAGGUGGUGCAUGGUUGUCGUCAGCUCGUGUCGUGAGAUGUUGGGUUAAGUCCCGCAACGAGCGCAACCCUUAUUAUCAGUUGCCAGCAUUCAGUUGGGCACUCUGGUGAGACUGCCGGUGACAAACCGGAGGAAGGUGGGGAUGACGUCAAAUCAUCAUGCCCCUUAUGACCUGGGCUACACACGUGCUACAAUGGACGGUACAACGAGUUGCGAAGUCGUGAGGCUAAGCUAAUCUCUUAAAGCCGUUCUCAGUUCGGAUUGUAGGCUGCAACUCGCCUACAUGAAGUU